UACGAAGGGUGCAAACGUUGCUCGGAAUCAUUGGGCGUAAAGCGCACGUAGGCGGCCUUGCAAGUCGGAUGUGAAAUCCCACGGCUCAACCGUGGACGUGCAUCCGAAACUGCUCGGCUCGAGUAUGGAAGAGGGUCGCGGAAUUCCCGGUGUAGAGGUGAAAUUCGUAGAUAUCUGGAGGAACACCGGUGGCGAAGGCGGCAUCCUGGACCGGCAUUGACGCUGAGGCGCGAAAGCCAGGGGAGCAAACGGG
rnacentral:rRNA from 1 species